rnacentral:rRNA from 1 species
AUGGAUCUCACCAUAUCUGCAGUUGCAAGCGAAUUUGUUAGCCGCUUCAUCUCCUUCCUGAUAAACAAGUACUCCUACUCAAGCCAUGUCCGAUUAGAGGAGAAGGUGGAGAGGUUGCAGCAUCUUCUAAUGAGAGUACACACAGUUGUUGAAGAAGCAGAUGGGAGAUACAUCAUGAACUCCAGGAUGGUGAUGCAGCUCCAGUUGCUUUCAGAGGCCAUGUACCAAGGCUACCAUGUUGUUGACACCUUCAGGUACCAAAGCUUUGUGGACAAAGGCAUCAUCGAGGUUUGCAACUCAUCUAUUUUGCCUUUCGCCAUUCCUCUUAAGUGUACUCGCACAAUUGCAUGUACAAGGAAGGACAAAGUAGUGAACCUUGAUUUAGAUGGUGCCUUGAAAAGCAUGCAAAGUGUUGUGGCUAACAUGAUGGAGUUUGUUGUGCUUUUGGGUGGAUGCGACCGCAUGGUGGGUAAACCAUAUGAUUCAUAUCUUUACUAUGAAAACAUCAUGUUUGGACGCCAUGCUGAAAAGCAAAUGCUCUUGAACUCCUUGUUGCAACAGAACACGCCUGGUGAUGAACCAGCUGUUCUUCCGAUCAUAGGUGGUUGCACAGUCGGCAAGAAAACAUUGGUUGCUCAUGUGUGUGGCGAUGAGAGGGUGCGGUCUCGCUUCUCUUCGGUUCUGCACUUGAGUGGAGAAAACCUUUUGAAAAUUCUUGAGCAUGAAAGUACCAUGUUAGGCAAAGUGUUGGUAGUUGUUGAGUUUGCUUCCAAUGUAGAUGACAAUGAUUGGAGAAAAUUCCACUCAUUUGUUAAAAGGUUGGCUAGAGGUAGCAAGGUGAUCAUCAUAAGUAAACUCCAAAGAUCAGCCAGAUUUGGAUCAGUGAAGCCAAUUUUCCUCAAUAAUUUGUCUUUCGAGGAAUUAUGGUACCUAUUCAAGACACUGGCAUUUGGAAGUGCAAACCCGGAAGAGCAUCCACGACUAGUACCAAUAGCACAAUAA